GACCCGGAAUUGUUUUUCCACCUAGACUCAACUGAAACGCAGACAGCCAAAUGUUGUGCAUUUUCUACCAGGAAUCCCGAACGAAGUAAAACAAACAGUUGUCAACAUUGAAUUAGGCACACCGCAGGCAUUGAAAGUAAGCUUGGCUUUCCUGUAUUUGUCAGAUACUUUUUAUGUACCUGCACUUUUUAUGUGGCAGGCGUUCUCCAUGCCCGUUUCUUGUACUUUGUGCAUAUGGUAAAUAACAUUAUCAAAUCAUAUUAUCUUAUUUAUAAGCAUUAUCGUUGCCGCGCAGAUACAGAUUGCCUAUCUAUGGCAAUGGGCAUGUAAAAAAUAAUAUCUUACCGUGCGGUUAUUUCGUUGCUCGCACAGUAAGUUUUGCACUUUCCAUUUAAACGCGCGGCGUUUUGUCCCUCCGUCCAGCUAGCUCUCUGGCGUCACUUAACCCACAUAAUAAUUAUUAUUUUAUAAUUAUUAUUAUAGCGUGGUUUGUUGUGGCAUAAACAAAGCAGUGUGGCAGGCAAAACUGCGAACUGGACAAAUGCGUUUCGGGCCUGACUUGCAAGUCUCUGUGCCAGAUCGGAAGUUCUUGUAGCAGAAGCGUGGCAGCAACACAAAAUAGCCGAAGCUGAAAAUCGUAAACGAGAAGGCAAUCCUUUACACACGCACACACACAAGCAAUUA